rnacentral:rRNA from 1 species
GACGAACGCUGGCGGCGUGCUUAACACAUGCAAGUCGAACGGAAAGGCCCUGCUUUUGUGGGGUGCUCGAGUGGCGAACGGGUGAGUAACACGUGAGUAACCUGCCCUUGACUUUGGGAUAACUUCAGGAAACUGGGGCUAAUACCGGAUAGGAGCUCCUGCUGCAUGGUGGGGGUUGGAAAGUUUCGGCGGUUGGGGAUGGACUCGCGGCUUAUCAGCUUGUUGGUGGGGUAGUGGCUUACCAAGGCUUUGACGGGUAGCCGGCCUGAGAGGGUGACCGGCCACAUUGGGACUGAGAUAGGGCCCAGACUGGUACGGGAGGCAGAAGUGGGGAAUAUUGCACAAUGGGCGGAAGCCUGAGGCAGCAACGCCGCGUGCGGGAUGACGGCCUUCGGGUUGUAAACCGCUGUCGCCUGUGACGAAGCGUGAGUGACGGUAAUGGGUAAAGAAGCACCGGCUAACUACGUG